rfam:Schistosoma curassoni strain Dakar, Senegal genome assembly, scaffold: SCTD_contig0001659
AUCUGGAUGAUGAGUCCCAAAUAAGGCGAAAUGAGCAUCUUUGAU